GGGCUAGGACCUUCAGAGCGGUUUCUGGUUAAACAGAAAGAUCUCAGAAAUUUUAAAAAGGCCUAUCGCUGUAGGGAUCCUUAACAUAAUGUUUUCAGACACCUACAAUAAUAAUUUAAGCCUUUUAGUGGCAAAAAAAGCACUUUUAGUGCACCAAACUGACGCUGAACAUUUGCCCCAUAGGGUUACAUUGCAGCCUGGUCUGUGGUUGUCGGUUACAGCGUUCAUGCUUUA